CAGUCGCCACGGGAAUGCGAAGGGUGCAAGCGUUAAUCGGAAUUACUGGGCGUAAAGCGUGCGUAGGCGGUUUGUUAAGUCUGUUGUGGAAUCCCCGGGCUCAACCUGGGAAUGGCAAUGGAUACUGGCAAGCUAGAGUGUGUCAGAGGAUGGUGGAAUUCCCGGUGUAGCGGUGAAAUGCGUAGAGAUCGGGAGGAACAUCAGUGGCGAAGGCGGCCAUCUGGGACAACACUGACGCUGAGGCACGAAAGCGUGGGGAGCAAACAGGAUUAGAUACCCCCGUAGUCCCUGUCUCUUAUAA
rnacentral:rRNA from 1 species